rnacentral:rRNA from 1 species
GACGAACGCUGGCGGCGUGCUUAACACAUGCAAGUCGAACGGUGAAGGGACCGGUUUUUGCUGGUUCUGGAUGAGUGGCGAACGGGUGAGUAACACGUGAGUAACCUGCCCCCUUCUUCUGGAUAACCGCAUGAAAGUGUGGCUAAUACGGGAUAUUCUGCGCCUGCUGCAUGGUGGGUGUGGGAAAGAUAUUGUUUCGGUGGGGGAUGGGCUCGCGGCCUAUCAGCUUGUUGGUGGGGUGAUGGCCUACCAAGGCGGUGACGGGUAGCCGGCCUGAGAGGGUGGACGGUCACACUGGGACUGAGACACGGCCCAGACUCCUACGGGAGGCAGCAGUGGGGAAUAUUGCACAAUGGGCGCAAGCCUGAUGCAGCGACGCCGCGUGAGGGAUGGAGGCCUUCGGGUUGUAAACCUCUUUCGCCAGUGAAGCAGGCCUGUCCCUUGUGUGGGUGGGUUGACGGUAGCUGGAUAAGAAGCGCCGGCUAACUACGUG